UACGGUGAGGGGCGAACGUUGUUCGGUGUCACUGGGCUUAAAGGGUGCGUAGGUGGUUGCGUAAGUAAGGUGUGAAAUCCCUCGGCUUACCCGGGGAAUUGCAUUUUAUACUGCGUGGCUUGAGGACUAAAGGGGGAAAAGGGAACUCCAGGUGUAGCGGUGAAAAUGCGCAGAUAUCUGGGGGAAGGCCGGCGGCGAAGGCGCUUUUCUGGUUAGUACCUGACACUGAGGCACGAAAGCGUGGGGAGCAACAGG
rnacentral:rRNA from 1 species